rnacentral:misc_RNA from 1 species
GAAAUGCGAUUACUAGUGUGAAUUGCAGAAUUCCGUGAAUCAUCGAGUCUUUGAACGCACAUUGCGCCCCCUGGUAUUCCGGGGGGCAUGCCUGUCCGAGCGUCAUUGCUGCCCAUCAAGCACGGCUUGUGUGUUGGGUCGUCGUCCCCUCUCCGGGGGGGACGGGCCCCAAAGGCAGCGGCGGCACCGCGUCCGAUCCUCGAGCGUAUGGGGCUUUGUCACCCGCUCUGUAGGCCCGGCCGGCGCUUGCCGAACGCAAAUCAAUCUUUUUCCAGGUUGACGUCGGAUCAGGUAGGGAUACCCGCUGAACUUAAGC